rnacentral:rRNA from 1 species
AAUCCCGAGUAGCAUGGGGCACGUGAAAUCCCGUGUGAAUCAGCGAGGACCACCUCGUAAGGCUAAAUACUCCUGAGUGACCGAUAGCGAAAUAGUACCACGAGGGAAAGGUGAAAAGAACCCCUGUUGGGGAGUGAAAUAGAACAUGAAACCGUAUGCUGACAAGCAGUGGGAGCAAGAAUGCUUGUGACCGCGUGCCUGUUGAAGAAUGAGCCGGCGACUUAUAGGGAGUGGCUGGGUUAAGGAGUAAAAUCCGGAGCCCAAGCGAAAGCGAGUCUGAAUAGGGCGCAAAUGGUCACUUCUUAUGGACCCGAACCCGGGUGAUCUAUUCAUGGCCAGGAUGAAGCUUGGGUAACACCAAGUGGAGGUCCGAACCGACCGAUGUUGAAAAAUCGGCGGAUGAGCUGUGAAUAGGGGAGAAAUUCCAAUCGAACUCGGAGCUAGCUGGAUCUCCCCGAAAUGCGUUGAGGCGCAGCGGUAACGAUGAACUGUCUUGGGGUAAAGCUACUGUUUCGAUGCGGGCUGCGAAAGCGGUACCAAGUCGUGGCAAACUCAGAAUACAAGACAUGUCUUCCGUAAACCAGUGAGACAGUGGGGGAUAAGCUUCAUUGUCAAGAGGGAAACAGCCCAGAUCACCAGCUAAGGCCCCUAAAUGGUCACUAAGUGGAAAAGGAUGUGAGAAUGCUGAAACAACCAGGAGGUUUGCUUAGAAGCAGCCACCCUUCAAAGAGUGCGUAAUAGCUCACUGGUAAAGCGUUCUUGCGCCGAUAAUGGCCGGGACUAAGUGACCUGCCGAAGCUGUGAUAUAAUUUAUUAUAUAAAUUAUAGGUAGGGGAGCGUUCCGCUCUCGGGUGAAGUUUUCACGUAAGUGGGGAUGGACGAAGCGGAAGUGAGAAUGUCGGCUUGAGUAACGAAAACAUUGGUGAGAAUCCAAUGCCCCGAAAACCUAAGGGUUCCUCCACUAGGUUCGUCCAUGGGGGGUUAGUCAGGACCUAAGACUAGGCCAAACGGCGUCGUCGAUGGAAAACAGGUUAAUAUUCCUGUACGAGUUAAAUUAUGAUCUGAGGGACGAAGGAGGCUAAGCUAGAACUGUUUUUGGAUUGCAGUGGAAGCGUUUAGACGUUGAGAGAUAGAAAAAAAGCUAUCUUGAGUGGAGACGUGAUCCCUAUUUGAUGGUUCGCCGUCGAGUAGCUAGUGAUGUCAUACUUCCAAGAAAAGCUCAUACAUCUUUAUAAUUUAAUGACCUGUACCUGAAACCGACACAGGUAGGUUGGUAGAGAAUACCAAGGGGCGCGAGAGAACUCUCUCUAAGGAACUCGGCAAACUGGCCCCGUAACUUCGGAAGAAGGGGCACCCAUCCGUAACAAGGUGGGUCGCAGUGACCAGGCCCAGGCGACUGUUUACCAAAAACACAGGUCUCCGCAAAGUCGUAAGACAAUAUAUGGGGGCUGACGCCUGCCCAGUGCCGGAAGGUUAAGGAAGUUGGUUAUUUCGUAAGAAAAAAGCUGACGACCGAAGCCCCGGUGAACGGCGGUCGUAACUAUAACGAUCCUAAGGUAGCGAAAUUCAUUGUCGAGUAAGUUUCGACCUGCACGAAAGGCGUAACGAUCUGGGCGCUGUCUCGGAGAGAGGCUCGGUGAAAUAGACUUGUCCCGUGAAGAUGCGGACUACCUACACCUGGACAGAAAGACCCUAUGAAGCUUGACUGUAUCUUGGAAUUGGGUUUGGGCUUUUCUUGCGCAGCCUAGGUGGGAGGCUAUGAAGAUUACCUUCCGGGGUAAUUAGAGCCGUCAUUGAGAGACCACUCUGGAAGAGCUAGAAUCCUAAUGGGGAUCCUUGAAUCAGGACCCUUGACAGUUUCAGGUGGGCAGUUUAUUUGGGGCGAAUGCCUCCUAAAAGGUAACGGAGGCGUGCAAAGGUUCCCUCAGUCUGGACGGAAAUCAGACAUUGAGUGUAAAGGCAAAAGGGAGCUUGACUGCAAGACCUACAAGUCGAGCAGGGGCGAAAGCCGGCCUUAGUGAUCCGACGGUGCCGCGUGGAAGGGCCGUCGCUCAACGGAUAAAAGUUACUCUAGGGAUAACAGGCUGAUCUUCCCCAAGAGUUCACAUCGACGGGAAGGUUUGGCACCUCGAUGUCGGCUCAUCACAUCCUCGGUCUGUAGUAGGUCCGAAGGGUUGGGCUGUUCGCCCAUUAAAGUGGUACGUGAGCUGGGUUCAAAACGUCGUGAGACAGUUUGGUCCAUAUCCGGUGUAGGCGUUAGAGCAUUGAGAGUAGCCUUUCAUAGUACGAGAGGACCUGAAAGGACAUGCCAAUUGUGUACCAGUUCUCAUUCCAAUGGGAAACGCUGGGUAGCUACGCAUGGAUAGAUAACUGCUGAAAGCAUCUAAGUAGGAAGCUAAACUCAAGAUGAGUGCUCUCUAAGGCCGCGGCUAGACAAGCCGUUAUAUAGGUAUCAGGUGUACAGUCAGCAAUGGCUUUAGCCGAGAUAUACUAAAGGCCGUUUGAUUUUGACCUU